rnacentral:rRNA from 1 species
GUGGGGAAUAUUGCGCAAUGGGGGAAACCCUGACGCAGCAAUACCGCGUGAGUGAAGAAGGUUUUCGGAUCGUAAAACUCUUUUAUUGGGGAAGAAGAAGUGACGGUACCCAAUGAAGAAGUCCCGGCUAACUACGUGCCAGCAGCCGCGGUAAUACGUAGGGGACAAGCGUUGUCCGGAAUCACUGGGCGUAAAGGGCGCGUAGGCGGUUUUAUAAGUCAGAUGUGAAAGGUACCGGCUCAACCGGUGACGUGCAUUUGAAACUGUAAGACUUGAGUACUGGAGAGGCAAGUGGAAUUCCUAGUGUAGCGGUGAAAUGCGUAGAUAUUAGGAGGAACACCGGUGGCGAAGGCGGCUUGCUGGACAGAUACUGACGCUGAGGUGCGAAAGCGUGGGGAGCGAACAGGAUUAGAAACCCGAGUAGUCC